CUCAUUGGCUGGUUCCCACGCAGGCGCGAUUUAUGCAAAAGAAGCCCAUUUUUCCACGCUGAUUUGCUUUUGUCCAACACAUCUGCGGAGUGUGUACGGUGGACAGGCCCUCGGGAGGUGAUCUUGUGAACACUUGCUGAGGAUCCUUGAUGCCGAGUGCAGGAUGUUUCCUACCAGUUUGAAGCCAUGUCUGAAGGGUUCCGAGGUGGAAUGUUCUGCGCUGGCCGAUGGCGGCGUCGGGGGGGGGGGGCACUGCACCGCAUGCCCAUGGUGACGAGGAAACAGCUGACGCAGGCAACAACGGCAUAGACCAACAUCUGAAGGAUGACAGGGAAAAAAAGCUCCAUCCCCUUGGAAAAGAAGGAAAGAAGGGAAGAAUAAUGUGGAUUUAUUGAGGAGAAAGAGAAGUAAAUAUUUGGUGGCGUUUAAGAAGUGUUUGUGUUCCACCUGCAUGACAAGAUGAGGACUUUUUUUAAGGCAGCACUUCCAACAAGAAGAAGAUGAGGACAUGUUUGAGGCAGCACUUCCAACAAGAAGAAGAUGAGGACAUGUUUGAGGCAGCACUUCCAACAAGAAGAAGAUGAGGACAUGUUUGAGGCAGCACUUCCAACAAGAAGAAGAUGAGGACAUGUUUGAGGCAGCACUUCCAACAAGAAGAAGAUGAGGACAUGUUUGAGGCAGCACUUCCAACAAGAAGAAGAAGAUGAGGACAUGUUUGAGGCAGCACUUCCAACAAGAAGAAGAAGAUGAGGACAUGUUUGAGGCAGCACUUCCAACAAGAAGAAGAUGAGGACAUGUUUGAGGCAGCACUUCCAACAAGAAGAAGAAGAUGAGGACAUGUUUGAGGCAGCACUUCCAACAAGAAGAAGAUGAGGACAUGUUUGAGGCAGCACUUCCAACAAGAAGAAGAUGAGGACAUGUUUGAGGCAGCACUUCCAACAAGAAGAAGAUGAGGACAUGUUUGAGGCAGCACUUCCACCAAGAAGAAGAUGAGGACAUGUUUGAGGCAGCACUUCCAACAAGAAGAAGAUGAGGACAUGUUUGAGGCAGCACUUCCAACAAGAAGAAGAAGAUGAGGACAUGUUUGAGGCAGCACUUCCAACAACAAGAAGAAGAUGAGGACAUGUUUGAGGCAGCACUUCCAACAAGAAGAAGAAGAUGAGGACAUGUUUGAGGCAGCACUUCCAACAACAAGAAGAAGAUGAGGACAUGUUUGAGGCAGCACUUCCACCAAGAAGAAGAUGAGGACAUGUUUGAGGCAGCACUUCCAACAAGAAGAAGAUGAGGACAUGUUUGAGGCAGCACUUCCAACAAGAAGAAGAAGAUGAGGACAUGUUUGAGGCAGCACUUCCAACAACAAGAAGAAGAUGAGGACAUGUUUGAGGCAGCACUUCCAACAAGAAGAAGAAGAUGAGGACAUGUUUGAGGCAGCACUUCCAACAACAAGAAGAAGAUGAGGACAUGUUUGAGGCAGCACUUCCAACAAGAAGAAGAUGAGGACAUGUUUGAGGCAGCACUUCCAACAAGAAGAAGAUGAGGACAUGUUUGAGGCAGCACUUCCAACAAGAAGAAGAAGAUGAGGACAUGUUUGAGGCAGCACUUCCAACAAGAAGAAGAUGAGGACAUGUUUGAGGCAGCACUUCCAACAAGAAGAAGAUGAGGACAUGUUUGAGGCAGCACUUCCAACAAGAAGAAGAAGAUGAGGACAUGUUUGAGGCAGCACUUCCAACAAGAAGAAGAAGAUGAGGACAUGUUUGAGGCAGCACUUCCAACAAGAAGAAGAAGAGGACAUGUUUGAGGCAGCACUUCCAACAAGAAGAAGAUGAGGACAUGUUUGAGGCAGCACUUCCAACAAGAAGAAGAUGAGGACAUGUUUGAGGCAGCACUUCCAACAAGAAGAAGAAGAUGAGGACAUGUUUGAGGCAGCACUUCCAACAAGAAGAAGAUGAGGACAUGUUUGAGGCAGCACUUCCAACAAGAAGAAGAUGAGGACAUGUUUGAGGCAGCACUUCCAACAAGAAGAAGGACUAGAAGUGACGUCAUACCUGAGGUGAGUGCAAACUGUGAAAGAGGUGACUUGUCUUAAAGCGACAGUACACCCGUUUAAAUGAGUGACAUGCAAUGAAAGAUGUCUCGGAGACAAGAAGAAGGACAACUAGUCUUAAAGGAAUAAUAUUCAUGGCUGAAAAACUGCAAAAGAAGAGACAAAAUAAUCUAAAUGUUGAAUAAAU